rnacentral:rRNA from 1 species
GGGGAAUUUUCCGCAAUGGGCGAAAGCCUGACGGAGCAAUACCGCGUGAGGGAGGAAGGCUCUUGGGUUGUAAACCUCUUUUCUCAGGGAAGAAGCUCUGACGGUACCUGAGGAAUCAGCAUCGGCUAACUCCGUGCCAGCAGCCGCGGUAAUACGGAGGAUGCAAGCGUUAUCCGGAAUGAUUGGGCGUAAAGCGUCCGCAGGUGGCGAUUCAAGUCUGCUGUCAAAGGUCGGGGCUCAACCCUGAACAGGCGGUGGAAACUGAACGGCUAGAGUGCGGUAGGGGUAGAGGGAAUUCCCGGUGUAGCGGUGAGAUGCGUAGAGAUCGGGAAGAACACCAGUGGCGAAAGCGCUCUACUAGGCCUGCACUGACACUCAGGGACGAAAGCUAGGGGAGCGAAUGGGAUUAGAUACCCCAGUAGUCCUAGCCGUAAACGAUGGAUACUAGGCGUGGCUUGUAUCGACCCGAGCCGUGCCGGAGCUAACGCGUUAAGUAUCCCGCCUGGGGAGUACGCGCGCAAGCGUGAAACUCAAAUGAAUUGACGG